UUAAGCGACUAAGCGUACACGGUGGAUGCCCUGGCAGUCAGAGGCGAUGAAGGACGUGCUAAUCUGCGAUAAGCGUCGGUGAGGUGAUAUGAACCGUUAUAACCGGCGAUUUCCGAAUGGGGAAACCCAGUGUGUUUCGACACACUAUCAUUAACUGAAUCCAUAGGUUAAUGAGGCGAACCGGGGGAACUGAAACAUCUAAGUACCCCGAGGAAAAGAAAUCAACCGAGAUUCCCCCAGUAGCGGCGAGCGAACGGGGAGGAGCCCAGAGCCUGAAUCAGUGUGUGUGUUAGUGGAAGCGUCUGGAAAGGCGCGCGAUACAGGGUGACAGCCCCGUACACAAAAAUGCACAUAUUGUGAGCUCGAUGAGUAGGGCGGGACACGUGGUAUCCUGUCUGAAUAUGGGGGGACCAUCCUCCAAGGCUAAAUACUCCUGACUGACCGAUAGUGAACCAGUACCGUGAGGGAAAGGCGAAAAGAACCCCGGCGAGGGGAGUGAAAAAGAACCUGAAACCGUGUACGUACAAGCAGUGGGAGCCUCUUUAUGGGGUGACUGCGUACCUUUUGUAUAAUGGGUCAGCGACUUAUAUUCUGUAGCAAGGUUAACCGAAUAGGGGAGCCGAAGGGAAACCGAGUCUUAACUGGGCGUUAAGUUGCAGGGUAUAGACCCGAAACCCGGUGAUCUAGCCAUGGGCAGGUUGAAGGUUGGGUAACACUAACUGGAGGACCGAACCGACUAAUGUUGAAAAAUUAGCGGAUGACUUGUGGCUGGGGGUGAAAGGCCAAUCAAACCGGGAGAUAGCUGGUUCUCCCCGAAAGCUAUUUAGGUAGCGCCUCGUGAAUUCAUCUCCGGGGGUAGAGCACUGUUUCGGCAAGGGGGUCAUCCCGACUUACCAACCCGAUGCAAACUGCGAAUACCGGAGAAUGUUAUCACGGGAGACACACGGCGGGUGCUAACGUCCGUCGUGAAGAGGGAAACAACCCAGACCGCCAGCUAAGGUCCCAAAGUCAUGGUUAAGUGGGAAACGAUGUGGGAAGGCCCAGACAGCCAGGAUGUUGGCUUAGAAGCAGCCAUCAUUUAAAGAAAGCGUAAUAGCUCACUGGUCGAGUCGGCCUGCGCGGAAGAUGUAACGGGGCUAAACCAUGCACCGAAGCUGCGGCAGCGACACUAUGUGUUGUUGGGUAGGGGAGCGUUCUGUAAGCCUGUGAAGGUGGCCUGUGAGGGUUGCUGGAGGUAUCAGAAGUGCGAAUGCUGACAUAAGUAACGAUAAAGCGGGUGAAAAGCCCGCUCGCCGGAAGACCAAGGGUUCCUGUCCAACGUUAAUCGGGGCAGGGUGAGUCGACCCCUAAGGCGAGGCCGAAAGGCGUAGUCGAUGGGAAACAGGUUAAUAUUCCUGUACUUGGUGUUACUGCGAAGGGGGGACGGAGAAGGCUAUGUUGGCCGGGCGACGGUUGUCCCGGUUUAAGCGUGUAGGCUGGUUUUCCAGGCAAAUCCGGAAAACCAAGGCUGAGGCGUGAUGACGAGGCACUACGGUGCUGAAGCGACAAAUGCCCUGCUUCCAGGAAAAGCCUCUAAGCAUCAGGUAACAUCAAAUCGUACCCCAAACCGACACAGGUGGUCAGGUAGAGAAUACCAAGGCGCUUGAGAGAACUCGGGUGAAGGAACUAGGCAAAAUGGUGCCGUAACUUCGGGAGAAGGCACGCUGAUAUGUAGGUGAAGCGACUUGCUCGUGGAGCUGAAAUCAGUCGAAGAUACCAGCUGGCUGCAACUGUUUAUUAAAAACACAGCACUGUGCAAACACGAAAGUGGACGUAUACGGUGUGACGCCUGCCCGGUGCCGGAAGGUUAAUUGAUGGGGUUAGCGGUAACGCGAAGCUCUUGAUCGAAGCCCCGGUAAACGGCGGCCGUAACUAUAACGGUCCUAAGGUAGCGAAAUUCCUUGUCGGGUAAGUUCCGACCUGCACGAAUGGCGUAAUGAUGGCCAGGCUGUCUCCACCCGAGACUCAGUGAAAUUGAACUCGCUGUGAAGAUGCAGUGUACCCGCGGCAAGACGGAAAGACCCCGUGAACCUUUACUAUAGCUUGACACUGAACAUUGAGCCUUGAUGUGUAGGAUAGGUGGGAGGCUUUGAAGUGUGGACGCCAGUCUGCAUGGAGCCGACCUUGAAAUACCACCCUUUAAUGUUUGAUGUUCUAACGUUGGCCCGUAAUCCGGGUUGCGGACAGUGUCUGGUGGGUAGUUUGACUGGGGCGGUCUCCUCCUAAAGAGUAACGGAGGAGCACGAAGGUUGGCUAAUCCUGGUCGGACAUCAGGAGGUUAGUGCAAUGGCAUAAGCCAGCUUGACUGCGAGCGUGACGGCGCGAGCAGGUGCGAAAGCAGGUCAUAGUGAUCCGGUGGUUCUGAAUGGAAGGGCCAUCGCUCAACGGAUAAAAGGUACUCCGGGGAUAACAGGCUGAUACCGCCCAAGAGUUCAUAUCGACGGCGGUGUUUGGCACCUCGAUGUCGGCUCAUCACAUCCUGGGGCUGAAGUAGGUCCCAAGGGUAUGGCUGUUCGCCAUUUAAAGUGGUACGCGAGCUGGGUUUAGAACGUCGUGAGACAGUUCGGUCCCUAUCUGCCGUGGGCGCUGGAGAACUGAGGGGGGCUGCUCCUAGUACGAGAGGACCGGAGUGGACGCAUCACUGGUGUUCGGGUUGUCAUGCCAAUGGCACUGCCCGGUAGCUAAAUGCGGAAGAGAUAAGUGCUGAAAGCAUCUAAGCACGAAACUUGCCCCGAGAUGAGUUCUCCCUGAGACCUUGAGUCUCCUGAAGGAACGUUGAAGACGACGACGUUGAUAGGCCGGGUGUGUAAGCGCAGCGAUGCGUUGAGCUAACCGGUACUAAUGAACCGUGAGGCUUAACCUU
rnacentral:rRNA from 2 species